rnacentral:tRNA from 1 species
GCGCCCUUAGCUCAAUGGAUAGAGCACCAGUCUUCGAAACUGGGUGUUGGGGGUUCGAAUCCCUCAGGGCGUA